rnacentral:rRNA from 1 species
AUUUUGACAGAUCCCUUCGGGGUGAAGAUAAAAUGGAUUAGCGGCGGACGGGUGAGUAACACGUGAGUAACCUGCCUUAGACAUUGGGAUAGCCUCGGGAAACCGGGAUUAAUACCGAAUAAAAUCACAGAUACACAUGUAUCCAUGAUCAAAACUCCGGUGGUCUAAGAUGGACUCGCGUCCCAUUAGCUAGUUGGUGAGGUAACGGCCCACCAAGGCGACGAUGGGUAGCCGGCCUGAGAGGGUGAACGGCCACAUUGGAACUGAGAAACGGUCCAAACUCCUACGGGAGGCAGCAGUGGGGAAUAUUGCACAAUGGAGGGAACUCUGAUGCAGCGACGCCGCGUGAACGAAGAAGGCUUUCGAGUCGUAAAGUUCUUUUAUAUGGGAAGAUAAUGACGGUACCAUAAGAAAAAGCCCCGGCUAACUACGUGCCAGCAGCCGCGGUAAUACGUAGGGGGCUAGCGUUGUCCGGAAUCACUGGGCGUAAAGGGUUCGCAGGCGGAAAUGCAAGUCAGAUGUAAAAGGCAGUAGCUUAACUACUGUAAGCAUUUGAAACUGCAUAUCUUGAGAAGAGUAGAGGUAAGUGGAAUUUUUAGUGUAGCGGUGAAAUGCGUAGAUAUUAAAAAGAAUACCGGUGGCGAAGGCGACUUACUGGGCUCAUUCUGGCGCUGAGGAACGAAAGCGUGGGUAGCAAACAGGAUUAGAUACCCUGGUAGUCCACGCUGUAAA